rnacentral:rRNA from 1 species
CUACGGGGGGCAGCAGUGGGGAAUAUUGGACAAUGGGGGAAACCCUGAUCCAGCAAUGCCGCGUGUGUGAAGAAGGCCUGCGGGUUGUAAAGCACUUUCGGUUGGGAGGACUGCUUCUAGCACUAAUAUUGUUGGAAGUUGACGUUACCUUCAGAAGAAGCACCGGCUAACUCCGUGCCAGCAGCCGCGGUAAUACGGAGGGGGCAAGCGUUAAUCGGAAUUACUGGGCGUAAAGCGCGCGUAGGCGGCUAGAUCAGUCGGGUGUGAAAGCCCCGGGCUUAACCUGGGAACUGCAUCCGAUACUGUCUAGCUUGAGUACAGGAGAGGAGAGUGGAAUUCCACAUGUAGCGGUGAAAUGCGUAGAUAUGUGGAGGAACACCAAUGGCGAAGGCAGCUCUCUGGCUUGAUACUGACGCUGAGGUGCGAAAGCGUGGGGAGCAAACAGGAUUAGAUACCCUUGUAGUC